CCUCAGCUGUUGAGAAAAACCAACCUGCUGCCUUAUCACAACGUUUUAGACCAGAGAAAGGGGAGCAGUCAAAGGCAACCACAUGUUAGUCGAGGAUCAGGAAGACCAAUGACCUCAGGGAUGAAAUCCACCGGUUGGAAUCCUCUUGACCUAUGGGCUAGAUGGAAGAAACUGAGGCAUGGAGGAGUUAAAUAACUUGCCCAAGCUUAUAUCCUUAUUAAGUGGUGAAGCUAAGGUAGACUACAUUUCCCAGAGUCCCUUGCUGUUACAUGUGGCCACAUGACAGAUUUCUAGCCAAGAGCAGAUGAGUGGAAAGAUGGGCACCACCCCUAAGGAAUCUCUGACACCCCAUCCUUCAUGUUCUUUUUCCUUCUGCUGCCCAAUACGGAAGGAUCACAGAGAACCCAGAAGUCCUGAGUGAAAGAUGGUGGAGCCUCAAGAGAAUUGAAGGCCCUCAAGAACUUCUGAUCAUCAUUACCCGCCAAGCCUGGGAGCCUUGAAGGGAGGCAUUACCCUACGGGGUGAGGAAGACAUUCAAACAGACUUUGGAUUCGGGCAUGUCUGAGUUUGAAGCCAAUGCCUUGCUGCUGCUGCUGC